UGGCUGAGCGGUAAAGCACCUGGCUUCCGUACUGGAAAUCCCGGGUUCGAAUCCUGG
rnacentral:tRNA from 1 species